rnacentral:lncRNA from 1 species
CAUCCACCCUGCUUUCUGCACAAGCCACAAACAUCCUCGUGAAAGUUAAAAGGAAAAAGAAAAACAUGCUCUUCCAAGGCCCUUAGAAGUAUUAUGGCCCUGGCUACGAUCUCCACAGGGCCUCCUGGGCAGACAUACCACUCAUGGAGAAGAGAGAUCGCUGUCAUUGACCCUGAAGAUAAGCAUCUUCAUGGCGAGCACCCUGGAGCCUUUCGCAAUUGACCACACUUUUAUAAUCAAGGCAUGUGAGGAUCAGAUGUGGUUGUGUUUAUGAGCACAGGUCCAUCUUCAGUGAAUGCCUUUUUAAUUUGUGACUGUUUCUUUUUUU